GGGGGCAUGGGCCUGGUGUUGGGUGUACAGCCAAUGGAGGCAGGCAAAGUCCCUGAAGUUACCAAACUAAUGUCCCAGCAGAAGAGUCAGGUUAUGAAAAAGCAAGGCUGGGCUGUGUCAACUCAUUGAGGCAAUGGGAGUAUAUCCUUAAGAUGAUGGACUUCAGAGCCGGACUCCCCAGGCUCACAGACAGCAUACUACCUCAGUGACCUUGCAUACAUGAAUCUGGGUGCCUCGGUUUCCUCAUCUGCAGAACUUACUGCCCAGGUAGGGCAACAUUCUCAGAAAAGUGUUUCAUUGAUAGUAAGAGCCAUGACCAUUUCUACCAAGUGUUGGAAAAGAACAUUAGCCUGUCCCCUCUCUGGACCUUCAGUAACCUGGGCACCUGACCUCACUGCUCACCUGAGGUUCACUGGAGUCCAUUCAGCAGGAAGGUACGACCACACCAUCCCCAGCCCUUAAGCCCAGCAGGUAUGGACACUCAAGGAGGGGUCCCAAGGAGAGUAGCCACCCAGGCUGGGGACAGAAGGUCUUCCCUCCAGGUUGGUGUUCUCUGGGGAAGUCUUGCCUCUCAAGCCUCUGUCCUCACCACAGCCCUUCAGCAAUAUUUCCAUAUUUUUAUUAAACACCAAUGUGCUGGCCAGAUGAGUGACACUUCCAGUGACGGGGCUUUGCUCUGCUUCUCGGGGCAUAGAGAACUUGUUCAAUUACGUGUCACCCCUGUGAUGAGCCCAAUCACAGGCACACACAUCAGCUUCUGAUUAUAACCUUGUUGUGCUUCUCUUGACAGGAAGGAAAUGAAUUUACCUCAUGUCACCCCUGUAGUUUGCAAGCAGCCUUGGCUUUGGAAAAUAGCACCUUUCACGUUUCCACGUUUUUCUAAGGAGGAAACGUUCUUGUGGGGGUCAGUCUUGGGGGCCUGAACAACUGAGCCUGGAGGUGAACUCCAGGUGAUUCCUUAGAGUGAUGGUGGCCCCUGGGGGCUUGUGGAGAACUGUCUGGGGUGUGGGACUCCUCCUGUAAGGAGUCCUGUAUCCACAGUCUUUGGGUCUUUGGGUCUUGCCUCAUAAAGGUCCUGCACAAA